GUGGGGAAUAUUGGGCAAUGGGCGAAAGCCUGACCCAGCAACGCCGCGUGAGGGAAGAAGGUUUUCGGAUUGUAAACCUCUGUCCUUGGUGACGAAAAAAAUGACGGUAGCCAAGGAGGAAGCCCCGGCUAACUACGUGCCAGCAGCCGCGGUAAUACGUAGGGGGCAAGCGUUGUCCGGAAUGACUGGGCGUAAAGGGCGUGUAGGCGGCCGAUUAAGUCUGGAGUGAAAGUCCUGCUUUCAAGGUGGGAAUUGCUUUGGAGACUGGUUGGCUUGAGUGCGGAAGAGGUAAGUGGAAUUCCCAGUGUAGCGGUGAAAUGCGUAGAGAUUGGGAGGAACACCAGUGGCGAAGGCGACUUACUGGGCCGUAACUGACGCUGAGGCGCGAAAGCGUGGGGAGCGAACAGGAUUAGAUACCCCGGUAGUCC
rnacentral:rRNA from 1 species